CCAAUUUGAACGAAUCAGUGGCGCGCACGAACGGAAAAAUGGAUUACUGAAGCUUCUUCUCCUCUCGUCCACUCUUUUUUUCCCUCCAAAGAUCAUGUCUUCCAUUUCCUCUUCCCUCGUUCUUCAACCCCUCAAAACUUCUAAACCUUCCACCUCCAUCUUCUCCUUCAAACCCUCUACAAAUUUCUCUCUGCUUGUAGUGUGCGAUUCCCAAUCCAAACCUAAUUCCCCCUCCAAUUCCAGAAAACCCGCCAUGGAUCCCCGCAAACCCACCUCCAAAUUCCGUCGAAAAUCGUCAUACGGUACCUCAAGGAGGUCUAUUCUCAAGAAAACUUUCAGUCAGGAACAGGUGACCUUCGCUACUGCUCUCUCCGAAGAUCCCGUUGUCGCCAUUAUUGGCGGCGGCAUGGCGGGAAUAAUGUGUGCGCUGAGUUUGGAGAAAAGGGGUGUUCGCUCCACUGUCUUUGACACGGGAAUUCAUGGAUUGGGAGGAAGAAUGGGGACCAGAAGUCUUGGUCCUGAACCCCUAAUCUUUGAUCACGCGGCUCAGUUCUUUACAGUGACUGAUACCCAGUUUGCUCAGUUGGUCGAUGGUUGGGUGGCUGCAGGUUUAGUUCGAGAGUGGGAAGGUACCGUAGGAGAGCUUGAAUUGGGUGGUAAGUUUGUUCCGACGUCUUCUUGCCCGAGGUAUAUAGGCACGAACGGGAUGCGGCCGCUUGCUGACUCGUUGCUGUCUCAGACUUCUCUUAUUAAUGUGAUCCGCCCUUGCUGGAUAAGCAAGCUGGAGCCAUUUAACGGGAUGUGGCACUUAAGUGAGAACGGAAAACCUCGCGGGCAUUUUGAUGCCAUUGUUAUUGCACAUAAUGGCAAGUGCGCUAAUCGGCUACUUGCAGCAUCUGGCUUACCUCUGAUUGCGAGACAAAUGAAGAGGUUAGAAUUGAGUUCUAUUUGGGCCCUCCUUGCAGCAUUUGACGAUCCUCUUCCUAUCCCAGAUGGUGCAGCAACAUUUCCUUUUGAAGGAGCUUUUGUAAAAGGGGUCGAUUCCAUCUCAUGGAUGGCAAACAAUAACAAAAAAUUUCUAAAUUUUCAGAAAGGUGGGCCCCACUGUUGGACCUUUCUGAGUACUGCUGCAUAUGGGAAACAGAAUAAGGUUCCACAGGAGAAUAUUCCAACUUCUACUGCUGAGAAGGUAAAGAAAAACAUGCUCAAGGGUGUCGAAGAUGCCCUGGGAUUGUCCGAAGGGUCACUACCGAGACCAUUUUACACCCGAGCUCAGUUAUGGGGUGCAGCACUUCCUACCAAUACACCUGGUAUUCCAUGCAUCUUUGAUCCUCUUGGAAGAGCUGGAAUCUGUGGUGAUUGGCUACUAGGUUCAAAUAUAGAAUCAGCAGCCCUAAGUGGGAUAGCUCUUGGCAAUCAUAUUGCUGAUUAUUUCCGUAGUGGCACUGGCAGUGUACGGUCCGAAGAAUUCGCAGUUGGUUUACAUAAUGAGUUUCAGCCCAUUCAAGGUCAUGAUAUUGGACAAUUUCCAGGUUUGGGAACUGAAAAGCAGGCAGAUAUUGAACGCUCACUUCAGAUUGCCACUUGAAGUUGUCCUUGUUAGACUCAUUAUACAACUAUAUAUAAAGUAAGGUGUGGCAUUUUUCCGACAAUGGUGUUGAUGAUGGUUAUUGCAGGAAGAUGGGGAUGAAUGCGUCGAUUUUGAAGAACCCCAAAAGAGUAAAAUGCGGAGCCGAGGCAACUCAACUGCCUUGAUCAAACCUACAGCAAGGACCUUAUCUAUGCGAUCCAUCAGGCAAAGUAUCUCUAUAAAAAAAUGUGAUGGAGGGCAAUGUUUGUGCAAUGAAGGGCUUUCUCGUGAGUUGUGUGGCAGAGUCAGAUUCAGGCAUGGUGUGUGCAUGAAGAUGGGAGUUUUCAGAGAGAAUAACCACAAAAGAUAUGUUGAUUACUUUUCAUUGCAUAUUUCAAUUGUAAGUUUAUUUUUUUGCAAAAGGAAAUUUCAUUUGAUAAAUGCUACUUCACCUGUUCUUCUUAUUGGAAUGUAUAAUGGUAGUCUAAACAAAGCUUCACUCACUUACAUAUUUGCUUUA